rnacentral:rRNA from 1 species
AUUGAACGCUGGCGGCAGGCUUAACACAUGCAAGUCGAGCGGGGUGAUGGUGCUUGCACUAUCACUUAGCGGCGGACGGGUGAGUAAUGCUUAGGAAUCUGCCUAUUAGUGGGGGACAACAUCUCGAAAGGGAUGCUAAUACCGCAUACGUCCUACGGGAGAAAGCAGGGGAUCACUUGUGACCUUGCGCUAAUAGAUGAGCCUAAGUCGGAUUAGCUAGUUGGUGGGGUAAAGGCCUACCAAGGCGACGAUCUGUAGCGGGUCUGAGAGGAUUAUCCGCCACACUGGGACUGAGACACGGCCCAGACUCCUACGGGAGGAAGCAGUGGGGAAUAUUGGACAAUGGGGGGAACCCUGAUCCAGCCAUGCCGCGUGUGUGAAGAAGGCCUUAUGGUUGUAAAGCACUUUAAGCGAGGAGGAGGCUCUUUUGGUUAAUACCCAAGAUGAGUGGACGUUACUCGCAGAAUAAGCACCGGCUAACUCUGUGCCAGCCGCCGCAGUAA